UACAGAGGUCCCAAGCGUUGUUCGGAUUCACUGGGCGUAAAGGGUGCGUAGGCGGUCGGGUAAGUCUGAUGUGAAAUCUCACAGCUUAACUGUGAAACUGCAUUGGAUACUAUCCGGCUCGAGGAAUGGAGGGGAGACUGGAAUACUUGGUGUAGCAGUGAAAUGCGUAGAUAUCAAGUGGAACACCAAUUGCGAAGGCAGCUUACUAUGGUAUAAUUGACGCUGAGGCACGAAAGCGUGGGGAUCAAACAGG
rnacentral:rRNA from 1 species